UGAGUAAGCCAGAUGAUUGCGGGAAUUUUAUUCACGAGGAAAGUCCGGGCUUCAUAGGGCAAGGGUGCCGGGCAACUCCCGGUGGAGGCGACUCUAAGGACAGUGCAACAGAAAUAGACUGCCGGAAACGGCGAUGGUGGAAAGGUGAGGUAAGAGCUCACCAGCGCUACGGCGACGCAGCGGCUAUGUAAACCCCACCCGAAGCAACACCGUAUUGGCUUAUGCAGGCUUAAUCUGCCCGAUGUGCCUGUGUAUGGCGGUGGCUUGAGCCGUAUAGUAAUAUACGGCCUAGACAGAUAAUCAUCAAAUACAGAACCCGGCUUACAGACUUGCUCAACAU
rnacentral:RNase_P_RNA from 1 species